rnacentral:lncRNA from 1 species
CGCGGAGGUACUUGGGAAAGGGGCGUGGCUUCGCGACUGCGGAAGGUUGCCCGGGCUGGCGCCGCUGGGCAGAGCCGGUGCGACGUUUCCCUUUCCAGCUUUGUUCUUCCGGCCCUGCUGUCUGCCUCCCCGGCUGAUUGGAUUCGUUACUGCUUUGCAACGCGCACCUAACUCCAGACGGGGUCUCACUCUGUCGCCCAGGCUGGAGUGCAGUGGCACAAUCUCAGCUUGCUGUGACCUCAGCUCUCUGCGACCUCUGCUUGCUGGACUCAAGCGAUCCUCCCACCACCUCAGCCUCCUGAGUAGCUGGAACCAUCAUAUGCACCAGCACGCCUGGCUAAGCUGGAAUGCAAUAGCGUGGUCUUGGCUCACUGCAACCUCCGCCUCCCGGGUUCAAGCAAUUCUCCUGCCUCAGCCUCCUAAGUAGCUGGGACUACAGCUUGAGGUCCUACCUGGUGUCCUCCAUGAGAAUCAUACAAGCCCCGCUACAGACAACAGAAUUGGAAGGUCCUGAGAGCUACCAGAAGCAUCUUCAGUUUUCAUAUGAAAAACUUAAGCCCAGGAGUGAUUUGUGCAGCCAAGGACACACAGCAAGUUAGUGGCUGCACCAGAAAUAGUACUCACUGCCUCAGACAGUCCCUCCCACAGUCUACUCUGUCUCCACCCCAAGGUCUGGUUCUGAAUCAUUCAGUUGUCAGUUGUCUCCUUUUUUUUUUUUUUUUUUGGAGACAGGGUCUCUCUCUGUGGCCCAGGCUGAAGUGCAGUGGUGUGAUUACAGCUCAUGUAGCCUGGACCUCCCAAGCUCAAGCAAUCCUCCUGCCUCUGCCUCCCAAGUAGCUGGGACCACAGGUGGGCAGCACCACACCUGGCUAAUUUUUUAAAUUUUUUUUUAUAGAGACAGGGUCUUACCAUUUGCCCCAGCUGGUCUCAAACCCCUGGGCUCAAGCAAGCCUCCUGCCUUGGCCUCCCAAAGUGCUGGGAUUACAGGUGUGAGCCACCACACCCGGCCUUAUCUCCUAACAUUUUGAUAGCACAAAAUUUUGAAAACCCACUUCUGUGUACGUUAUGAAGCAUAGAAAAUUAAACAGUAUGCACCAAAAAAAAAUAAAUACAAGUUAUAAUAUUUUCUUUCUGUCCCCACACUUAAAAGACCACUCUUCUAAACCAGGCCACAAUCAUUCAAGCAAAGGCAGGCACUUGGGGCCAUCCUCCUCCACUUUCCCCUAGGGAAAACAAACAAAACCAAAGGAAAAACAAAAACAAAAACAGGUUUUAAAGAGUGCAUGUUUCCCAGUUCCAGGGAAAAUUAUAGGCCAGAACACUGUUGUGGCAAACAUGCAUCCUUACAUACUGCAGGGUAAACCAAACAUGCAACAAACUAAAUUAAUAAUGAUGAAACCAAACUAACAGUAACUUAUAAUUAAAAAGCCAGAACGGCAGCUGCUGGAAACAGGAGCAGAUCCACCAUCCUCGAUGAAACUCUGAUAAUCAAAUACCCUUUCCCAAAAUGGCCAAAAUCCUUGCUCACAUAUUCCAGGUAGGUUCUUUGCUCUGUAGCCAAGAUGUGAGUAGCAGCCAGUCUUCCAUAAGCUACUGAAUUAUCUCCUUGGUAAAUUCUAAUUGUGGGGCACCCCCAUACCUCUCUUCCCACUUUUUUUUAAGACAGGGUCCCGCCCUGUUGUCCAGGUUGGAGUACAGUGGCAGCAUGAUCAUAGCUCACUGAAGCCUAGACCUCUUGGGCUCAAAUGCUUUUCCUGAGUAGCUGGGACUACAAUGCACACCACCAUGCCCGGCUAAUUUUAUUUUUUGUAGAGACAGGGUCUCACUAUGUUUCCCAGUCUGGUCUUGAACUUCUGAGCUCAAAAGAUCAUCCUGCCUCAGCCUCCCGAGUAGCUAGGACUAGAGGCUCAUGCCACCAUACCCGGCUAGUUUUUAUUUUUAGUAGAGACAAAAACCUCACUUACGUUGCCCAAACUAUUCUCAAACUCCUGGACUCAAGCAAUCCUCCUGCCUCCGCCUCCAAAAGUGUUGGGAUUACAGGUGUGAGCCACUGAAUCUGGCCCAUAGGUCUUUUUUUUUUUGAGAUGGAGUCUCAACUGUUGCAGGGGCUAGUGUGUAGUGGCACAAUCUCGGUUCACUGCAACCUCUGCAUCCCGGGUUCAAGCGAUUCUCCUGCCUCAGCCUCCCGAGUAGCUAGGAUUACAGGCGCCAGCCACCAUGCCCAGCCUGGCUAAUUUUUUGUAUUUUUAAUAGAGACGGGGUUUCACUAUGUUGGCCAGGCUGGUCUUGAACUCCUGAACUCGUGAUCCACCCGCCUCAGCCUCCCAAAGUGCUGGGAUUACAGGCGUGAGCCAUGGCGCCCGGCUUUUUUUUUUUUUUUUUUUUUUUUAAGACAGUCUCGCUGGAGUGCAGUGGCAGAAUCUCGGCUCACUGCAACCUCUGCCUCCCGGGUUCAAGCGAUUCUUGUGCCUCGACCUACUAGUAGCUGGAAUUACAGGUGUGAGCCACCACACCUGGCCAGAUCUUUCUUAAUACCUCAAAACAACUAGGAAUUUGGGCUGGGCAUGGUGGCUCACGCCUGUAAUCCCAGCACUUUGGGAGGCCAAGGUGGGUGGAUCACUUGAGGACAGGAGUUCAAGACCAGCCUGGCCAACAUGGCAAAACCCCAUCUCCACUAGAAAUGCAAAACCUAGCCAGGUGUGGUGGCACACACCUGUAAUUCCAGCUACUUGGGAGGCUGAGGCAUUUGAACCCAGGAGGCAGAGGUUGCAGUGAGCUGAGACCACGCCACUGCACUACAGCCUGGGCAACAGAGCAAGACUUCGUCUCAAAAAACAAAAAAAAACAGCUAGGUUUGGCUACAAAGGAUUCACAGGGUAUUGGAGACUGCAGUUGGAACAGAGUUUUCCCAAAAAGCAACAGGGCUUCUGCCUCCUGGGCUUAGCAGAUGUGACCUUGGACAAGUUACUAAGCCUUUCUGAGCUUCAUUUUUCUCAUCUGUAGGAUGAGGUGUCUCCAGGUUAUUGUGAAGAUGUGUAUAUGCGGUGCUUUAUGAACCACAAAGCUGCAUGUGGUUGUCAGGUUCCCUCUUCUGGCCUUGUGAGCUGGAGACACACACACACAUUUCUCCCCAAACUGUCUCAGCCCCCAGGCACCUACUGCAAGGACUCGGGGAUCGUGCAGAGGUGCAAAGGAGUCGUGCCCUCCUCAGU